rnacentral:ncRNA from 1 species
ACAGGCAGGACUUAGUAGGCGGUAUAGCUGAAAACGAUGCUUUGAGCGAAGGAGCGCUUUGCCCAUUGAACUCGCGCCCGAUGAUACGCCGCUGGACGCUGGCCGAAAAGGCCCGUCCGCCACCGAGUGGCGGGCGCUUGCAUGGCCGGUGAAUGUGCGGAAACCCGGUUUCAUGGCGGCGGCUACGCAGUUAGAACCCGCACCCGACAAUAAGACUGCACGGAGGCGCAUAUUGACCAACAAAGA